rnacentral:lncRNA from 1 species
AUGUCGUCCCUAAAUGUCCCCUGGCCCACGAGUCCACGGAGUUCCAAGCUGCGAACGGCACCUGUCCUCUCCUGUCCCCCCUUCCUACUGGUUUCCCCUUGGGAACAACUUCCGUCCCCUCAGUUCCUGAGCCAGACUCCUGGGUGUGGUAUCUUCUUCACCUCUUCCCUCCCUAUCAACCCCACUGUCUGUCGGUGCUCAGCCCCACCUGCCUCCUCACAUUCUCUGCCCCACCCCCUCCUUCGGGUCCGCAAGGUCCCAGCCCCAGCUCGGGCAUCCUCCCCCUGCAUCCAUCCCCCACAGGGCCCCAGAGGGGACUCUCUGACGCCCAGAUCCGACCACAACCGUCCAUGGCUCCCGGUCACCCCCGGGAGAAAGUUCCCAGCCUGGCCUUCCAAAGGCUCGCGAGCCUGGCCCCGCCCACCACCUCAGCCGCAUCUUGGGCUCCUGUCCUCUAAGGCUCGAGGCAGACCUGACUGCUUUGCGGUCCUCCCGGAAUCGCCCCCGGUUCCCUGCCUUCAAGCCUCCUCCCGGAACGCCCUUGCUGCGGCCAGCCCCCUUCUCAGCCACCCAGAUCUAACUUCUCCCGAUUCUCGGAGGUCCCUUCCGCAGCCUCCAGCUGAAAGGACCCCUUGCGCCCCUGGGCUCCCACGGCCGCUGGCCUCUGGCUCUGUCAUACCCCGAUCGCCCUGGAUUGGAACUGCCUGCGUCUGGGGCUGUCUCCUCCAUCAUACUGUGAGCUCCGUCUGCAAGGGGAGAUAUGGGUCUGAUUCACCUUUGGGGCCCCAGUGCGGGCAGCGGGCGGGGCGGGGGGGAACCGAAGCGGAGGGAGGAGAAGGAGGCUGGGAGGGCAGGAAGGGGGAGAGCGAGGAGGGGAGCAGACCCCGCUGCGGCAGGGAGGGAGGCAAGGGAGGAGGGGGGGCGGGAGGAGGAAGAGGAGAGACACCGAGACCUAGACCAGGAGGAGAGAAUGCACCGCGCGGGAGGCGAGGGAGCAGAGGUGGAGGGCGCGGGAGAGAGCGGCGAGGGGAGAGCCGGGCCGGCCGCGGGAGGUGGAGGGAGGGAGAAGUGGAGCGCGGCGCCCCGCCGCCCCGGCCCCUUUUGUCCCUUCCCUCCGCCCUGCGUCACGCUCCCGGCCGGCCUCCCCGCGCUCCCUCCCCCGCCCGCGCCUCCUCCCCGGGGCUGGAUGGAAUUUUUUCCCCUGGACCGGGGCCAGCUCCGGGGCCGGGGGAGGCAGGCCGGGCCGGGCCGGCGGCGGGGAGGGGCCGGCGCGGGGGCGCCCGGGGAGGGGGCCGGCCCGCGGGGUCCCGGGCGGAGACGCGGGCCGGAGGGAGUCGGGAGGAGGGAAGGAGGAUGCCGGGGCCGCCGGGAGGAAGGGGAGAGGCCGUCGGGCGGCGGAGGCGGGGAGAGGAUGGAGAGCGGGCGGCGGCGGGCCCGGCUCGGCGCGGCCUGGGGGCUGGCCGGGGAGCCCCUGCCCUCCGACGCGGGAGCCGCGGAGCCGUGAGUCUGCGGAAAGCUGGCUGGGGAGUGGGGGUGGGGAGGGGGGCUGGGGCGCGGACCCGGGGUCCCAGGAAGAGGAGGAGGCCGCGGCGGCCUGGGGUUCUGGGUUCCUGGACGAGGAGGGGGCUGGGGACCCAGACUCCCGGAUCCUGGUUGGAGGGGGCCUGGGGGGGGCCUGGAUUCCUGGGGUCCGGAGGAGAGGGCGGGGAACGGCCCCCGGAUUCCAAAGGAGGAGAGAGCUGGGGCCGGGGUAGCUGGAUGCGGACGGAGGCUGGAGGACGCUAUGGCAAGAUGCCCGCCCGAGCCCUCUGGGGAGGUGGAGGGAGAGUGGUUGGCCUUGGAGGUGCCUCCGGCAGCGGAAGGGUUAACGUCUGGCUAGAGGGGAGGGGGAGGGGCAGGGAUGGGGCUGCGGGGCUUUGA